AACACAUGCAAGUCGUACGAGAAAUCCUCUGCUUGCAGGGGAGAGUAAAGUGGCGCACGGGUGAGUAUCGCGUGGGUAAUCUACCCUUGAAUUCAGGAUAACACUUCGAAAGGGGUGCUAAUACUGGAUAACAUCCUGAUGGUUUAGGCCAUAAGGAUCAAAGAUAGCCUCUACAUGUAAGCUAUAGUUCAGGGAUGAGCCCGCGUACCAUUAGCUAGUUGGUGGGGUAAGAGCCUACCAAGGCAACGAUGGUUAGCUGGUCUGAGAGGAUGAUCAGCCACACUGGAACUGAAACACGGUCCAGACUCCUACGGGAGGCAGCAGUGAGGAAUUUUGCGCAAUGGGGGAAACCCUGACGCAGCAACGCCGCGUGAGUGAAGAAGGCUUUCGGGUCGUAAAGCUCUGUCAAGAGGGAAGAAAGUGGGAGAUGGUAAUACUGUUUUCUAUUGACGGUACCUCUGAAGGAAGCACCGGCUAACUCCGUGCCAGCAGCCGCGGUAAUACGGGGGGUGCAAGCGUUAUUCGGAUUUAUUGGGCGUAAAGAGCGCGUAGGCGGUUUAUCAAGUCAGAUGUGAAAGCCCUGGGCUCAACCUGGGAAGUGCAUUUGAAACUAGUAGACUUGAGUAUGGGAGAGGGAAGUGGAAUUCCUGGUGUAGAAGUGAAAUUCGUANAUAUCAGGANGAACACCGGUGGCGAAGGCGACUUUCUGGACCAAU
rnacentral:rRNA from 1 species